rnacentral:tRNA from 1 species
GGGCCUGAAGCUGCCCUUACAAGGCAGAGGUCGCCGGUCCGAGUCCGGCCCGGCCCA